CUUUUUCCCUUCACCACGGACCUGUGCCCAGAAUCCGCUGCUCGUUCAGCGCCGAAUCUGCGGCAGCUCGAUACCCCCAUGGGAAUCAUCAGCUUCAUUGCUAAACAUGAUGGCAGUCCUAUCGACAGGUCCUAGAGUAAUUCGGCGCAUUGUCGUCGCCCUGCUCGCCGUAAAAGGCUGAGCUCGGCGUUAUGGCGGCAGCGCGUCGUAAAGGUUAUAUUCCACUCCCCUUUUCCAAGAUCGUCGAUCGAUGAGGUUGGGGCAAACCAUGACUAUUCUUACAAAA
rfam:Magnaporthe oryzae 70-15 chromosome 5, whole genome shotgun sequence.